UGCUGCGAUUACAGCUGCAUGCCACUGUCUCCAGUGAGGCAACUUUUUUACUACACCAACUUCAGAUGACUGCUGUGUCUUCUGCACAAAUUUGAAGCUCUUUUGUGCUGCUAUCCCAGGAUCAUGCUACAACAAUAUUUCAGCUUCAGGAAAAACAGCAACAAGAAGCUAUAAGGAUGAAAUCCAGGGUUUUGGGCAUCAAGGCUUGCCUGGUGCCUAAGGAGGUCUGAAGAGAACACCAGACUCCCCUGAAACUGCCUAAUCAUAAGCCACGUUUCAGCGUUCAAGAUUAUAGGUUGUAUUGUGUGAUUACUCCUUGUAUUAAUAAGAGAAGGAAGACAGGAGAGAAGGAAGACAGGCUGAUCAAGCACUAGCUCUAUGUUUGUGUCAGAUUAAUUAUGAAAGCACAUGAACAUCAUAUAACAGAAUCAAGAAAUGCUACAAAAAAUCACAUGCAGUGUUCAUUCAUGCAUACAUGUGCAGACUCAGAAGAGAUGGAGAGCUGCGAGAAAAUAGGUUAAAUGCCGUAAGACAUUCUAAUGAGUGACCAAGAUCAUUGAAAACGGUAAGGAGAGCCUUUCCCACUCACCUGGAACCAAAUGCUUCCCUCUGUCGUAUCUUAUCUAGGAACGAGGAAAUGCCACUAACUACAGGUCUGAUACUCUGUUAUGCUUGCAGACAGGAGCCUACCAUGGCUGUCCUCUGUGAGCCCAGCAGACCAUGGAAAGGGAUGCAGAAACACCCACACAAAGUAAGUUUUUAGUGAAGAGUAGCCAUAGAAAGGAAGAGAAGAAAGCCCCUACUGGAGGGUACUAGAGAUCUACAUCUCUGGGAAGAUCCAACACACAGGUCUCCAUCUACUGCAUAGUUUCACUGGAAAACUCAGCAAGUGUUGUGUGUGAUAACCUGGACGGAAGAAGUCAGAUUGAUACCUUUCUACUCUCUGAAGGAAAGAGACACAGCACCCGUAUGAAUACACCACUCAGUGGGAACAUUCAUUUCCAAGCACAGGAGGACUUAAUUUUGGGACUCUCCUGCAAUCAAUUGCAAGUGUACUUUCUUCUCUUCUGUUCUCAGUCACUCAGCACCAGGUACACAGGAUCUAGCAGGUUUAUUGCAGUUGGAGGACCCACCCUCUGUGGAUACCAGCACUCCAUGGCUGAAAUCCUGGACUGUGCAAUAAGAUAAAAUCAAAAGAAAAUUUCUAGACCGAAGAGUCUUUAAGCUGAUGGCAAGCAACCAGCUGGAAUUACUGAAGAGAUGAGCACUACUGAAAAGAGACUGCCUACACUGAACUAGGACAGCAGGAAUGGUGUCCUCAGGAUAAAACAGAACCCAGUGGGGGCUCCAUCCUGCGAAGAUCCAAAGUCAUUUAUAAGAAGACAGCUUAAACUGAAGGGGGUUCCCUGUUCCUCAAAAUCAACUACCCAGGAAAAUGUUUUGCCAAAGUCAGCACACAGAAGCUGAUAGAACUGUGCUCUGGUGGGUGAGACGCAAGUACAUCUUGACCUGGCAGUGGAUCUUGGAAGUAUGGCUUACAUGGUACUGGUAUUAGAGGCAUGAAAGAUGGAAGGUUGAAGGGGUCCAGGAAUCUUGCUCUAUGGUUCGAGAGAGAUGAUAUGUCAGGCAGUAUGGGACAAUAUUGGAAUUCCUGCUAAGAGGUUCUGAGAAGUCAUUUCAUGAGGCUAUGGACAUGAAGCCUGUUAAAUGGAGACCAUGGGGGUGCCAGAACUGUGGCUUACCCAUCAAGGAAAGCUUCAGAAAUGGAAUAGAGCCAUCCCAAAGCCAAGAGAGAAUGUGUGUUGCAGACAGCCAAGCUGGAGAGAUGGAGAUACCUAAGGCUUUUGGUGUCCAUUUGAUUAUAUCAAAAAUCCUAGUUGACCAACACGAAGGUGAAAGGAUUUUGUGUUCACCACAAUGGAUAUUGGUUUUGGGCUGGUCCAAUUAUUCUUUGCUAUACCCCAAUUGUUAUAUAUUGGAAUGGGACUGUUUAUUCUGUAUCAUCGUAUGCUGGACUAUGCAACUUUGUUUGUUUGUUUGUUUUAAUUUAUAAACACUCACAGUUAA
ensembl:antisense